GAACGAGGGUUAUUAAGACAGACCUGUUAUUUAAGUUUUCUCUCGUGCCUUCUCUUCAAUUUCAUGCGAUCUCUUCUUUUCUUUUCAUCUGAAUUUAAUAUGUAUAGUACCUUUAAAAUAUAUCUUAAUAUGUAGUAGUUACUACUACUACUCGUUACAAAAUCGACUCUCUGUUGAUUCAAGAUGAUAAUGUAUGACUGCGAGAGAUUUCAUAUGAAUAAAAACAAAUUUAAAAAAGAAGAAAAAAAAAAAAAUCAUGGAAUAAAAGCAAGACGGCGCGCUUCUAAUUACAGAUUCACAACGUCAGCAAAUGUCUGUAACUACUACUGUCUUAGUGACUGACUGUUAAUUUCUUCGAAUAUGAAAUAAUUCGAAACGUGACGUUGCAUAAAAGAUCGAAGACCGUUUCCUAGACAAGAUUGCCCACUUUACACUUGGAUAGCAGGUCAGUGAAAAAUAAUGGGAUUGUUCUUCGAAAAGAAGAUAAUGAAACUGUCACAGAAGAAAGACGACAACGGGUUCUUGUGUCAACGUCGUAUCGCGAUCUUUUGAUCGCGACCGAUAAAACUCGUUUUGAAAAUUUCUAAAUCGUUUUCGACCAUAACCUGAAUAAGAUGAUUUAAAUAAAAUCAUCAUAAGAAAAUUAUUUAUAUAUAUAUUAAUAGAAGAUCGUAAAAUACGAGAUUUUUGAUCAAUAAAAUUUAUUCGAUAUAAAUCGAUUAUCGAUUAAUAUUGAUAUUUCUAACUUGAAAUUUGUCCAAUGAAGUUGUCUGCUUAAAUGUACGUAUUUCUCGACAAGUUCUAUCAAAGUUUUUUUAAACGAUUACAUGAUUUAUACAUUGUAAUGAAGUGUUAAUUCUACACAAACAUGUUUCCUGGACUAGUCUAUAAGAAAUAAUGAUAUCAUGUAACUUAUGUUACGGUUGUAUGGAUUAACCGUAAAUUGGAAGAUCGAAAUCGUUGAUAAUUAGAUCAUAAAUGUGAUGGCUGAUUUCGUGACGGUGUACGAAAACGAUCAAUCGAUCUCAAGAAGAUGCUUGUCUAUGACAAAUUGCGUUCCAGACGACUCAUCAAGACCUGAUUCAUUCAUUCAUCGCGAUUUCAUCAGUGAUAUUAGCAGCAUGCGAGCAACGUGUUUACCAAUUAUCGUGAAAUUUGCACACUGACAAUCUUUUCUUUUUUUUAUGUACGCGCGCGAUGAGAAUUGUUAAUGAUGAAUCAAUGAUAGCGUUGUAAAUUAAUUUUUAAUUGCGAUUCCGACUCAAUCUGUUCUAUCAUUGUGACAGUGUUGCUAAUAUCGCGAAUGAAAUUCGACAGAUAAUACAUUGUUUGUUUGAUUUUAAUAGUUAUCUGUUAAAUUGUACAUGAUAAAAAAAGAAGUCUACGACUGGUUUAAAAGCAUAAUGAAAUCAUAGUAAUAAUCAUAUAUGCAUAUCGUAAUUCAAAAAAAUCAUUAUAUAUAUAAUCAAACAAAUUUCAAUAAACAUCAUUGUAUUUUCACUUUUUGAAUGUUGAUGUCGAAGAAUCAAUGUGUUGAUGAUAAAGAAAACGUUUCGUGUCUCUCUCUCUCGAGCCAUUUUAAACAUCUUUAUGAGUUUCGGCUGUUAACACGAUCAUGGAAACAGGAUCCUUCAUCACGUGGCGGAGGACGUAACUAGGGAUUCGCGUGACACAUUAGUCUAAAAUUCGCGCGUGAGACAACGAAGGCCCCGAAUCGGUUCGCCACUUAUCAUAAUGCUUGCUUAAUGCUCGUUGCUGGAACGUGGUGUCUCGCGUGUAACCACCUUGUAGAGGAACGCCCGUGGGACCAACGAGACUUCCCUCUCGUGAUAUGUUGACGAGGAUAUGUGUGCGAGUGCAUCGAGAAUAUUCCCACAAAUUGGCAGCGGCCUGUUCGAAUCGGGAGGGGACAAAAUGGAGAGAGGGAAAGAGAUGAAAAAAAAAGGAAAGAGAGAAAAUAUAGAAAAUAACGACGAUAAUACGAGGAGAGGCAGGAUACGUUUGUUAGCUUUGCUGUUCGUCCGGAAAACGCUGUAGGAUUCCGAGGUUCGGCCAAGGGGGUGACAGAGCGACCAUUGUUAUUUCCGCUUACGCGAUGCUCUUUGAUCAGAAUAAAAUGAUGAUCUGAUGUGCUCAAUGAAUAUGUUCCGUGUAUUGCAGAUGCAUCGAGGCGAAGAUGCUGAAUCGUAUACGAGAAAGAAUUAUUAUUUUUAUGGAUUAUUGUUUGUGGCUCAAUAUCACGGAUAACACAAAUUAUAAUUAUUAUAAUACAAAUAAGUAUAUAUCGAAGAAUAUGUGUAUAAAUAAAUAUUACAAAAAACGACAAUCGAUAGAGAGAUUCAAACGAAAUCUCGUCUCGAUAUCAAUUUUAAUUAACAAAUAAUCGCGGAGGACAAGGAAUAAUUAAUCAGACCAGAUGGGUGUGCGGACACGUGUUAAACGGUCAUUCUGAAAGGACAGUUAAAGUCAAGGAUGGUCAUUUUCACCAACGGACGAUUUUAUCAACCCCUCGCAAGCUGUAAAUUAAUGACGAACUACCUGAUCUUGCCUCUGGAGAAUUCUCGGUGCAUGGAUGGUUUUAUCAUCCUUUGCCGAUCGAUCCAUCGUGUCACGCAUACAUUAUCCGUGCUAUUAAUUAAUUUGCAGGUACGCCGCUUCGGAUACGCAUUGUAUCGUAAUAUGUAUUAUAAUAUAAUCAAUAGGAUGGCGCGGAACAAAAGGAUAAUUCAUUAACCGUUAUCGACGGUUAAUCGAAUCGAAAGAGGCUGAAUACAUUCGUUCCACGACGAAAAGAAUCAAAGGCACGGUUGGUUAAUCGAUCACGGUGAGUAAUUUUUCAUCUC